UACGGGGGGGGCAAGCGUUGUUCGGAAUUACUGGGCGUAAAGGGCUCGUAGGUGGCCAACUAAGUCAGACGUGAAAUCCCUCAGCUUAACUGGGGAACUGCGUCCGAUACUGGCAGGCUUGAAUCCGGGAGAGGGAUGCGGAAUUCCAGGUGUAGCGGUGAAAUGCGUAGAUAUCUGGAGGAACACCGGUGGCGAAGGCGGCAUCCUGGACCGGUGUUGACGCUGAGGCGCGAAAGCCAGGGGAGCAAACGGG
rnacentral:rRNA from 1 species